UUGUAAAUGCACACUCUCCCUCAUCACUUUCUCUCUCACGUUUUUUUUUUUUUUUUUUUUUAUAAAAAAAACCUCCCCUUAUCUGUAAAUUUACCAAAUGCAUUAUACCUCCAACAUAUUGCCUUGGUGUGCCUAGAACCUUACCAUGCAUUUCAGCAUCUACAAGAGUCAUGUGUCAUGUUGAAGAAAAUCUCACGGAACUUCCAUUUGCCAAGGGAAGGCUCUCGCACGGUGAGACGCUUUCAUUGUGCCACAUGAAAUUGAUAAAUGGUAGGAGAAUAAUAUGGAACAGGUUCGUUGGUUUUGAAGGCUCUUUGUGAGAAGUUGAUUUGGAUUGACAUAUUUCAAGACUUGUGCAUCGUGGGACUUGGCUUCGGAGAAAGAUGUUGAAAUAUGAUGAGGUACAAGGAUUGAAAGUGGGAUACUUGUGUGGUUAUUAUACAUGAUUGUGUGAAAACUGGUACGGAUGGGUAGUUUAGAAUGGUUAGUAUUUUGAUUGGAUCCAUAUUUACUUGCUAAAUAGAAAGACAUUUGUUGGGGUUAUGAUGCAAUUACUAAAUUUAUAGAUAAGGAGACUGUGUUUUCUUCAAUAAUGUGAGGGAGAAAGUGAUAAAGGAGGAGUGUGCAUUUAAAAGGAUAAUUUAGGAAAAUAAAAAGAAAAGGGGAGUAUCUUAGUAAAAUGGCUUUUAUCUUCCCCCCCAUAUAAUUCCGCUUUUAUUUUUUGUCUUGGCAUUUUUACAUGGAUAGGUAUACAGUAUGAGAUUCUGAACAUGAACAUAGUAAAAUGUUGCAUAUCAACUCAGUAAUCUCACUUGUAAUAUGAUUUAAUGUUCUCUUAAAUUUUUACAAAUAGACAUUAGAUUUUGAAUGUAGGAUAUGUUUCAAUCAGUAAAGAUGAAAGUACCGUUAUGUUGUUCUCUUUAAUUAUAGAGGAAGAUCAGGGUGCGUAAUUAAACUUGUUACGCACCGUGCGAAACAAAAAAUAUUAUGGAAGUGUCCAUACUAGAUCAAAUUAAAAAAUAUUAUUUUCUCAUUGUCCUCCUCGUAGCUCGCUCCCUCCACCAUUCAACCUCUUCUCCCUCUCUCUUCCAAUUCCAAUGUUCAUCUCUCUUUGUUGCUCUCUCCCCGACUAUACCUCCAUCGUCGCUACCAUUGAUGCUCGAGAAAAAAAA